UCUGAAGGGCUCCAAAAGAGUAAAUUUUUGCAAGUUCUGUGAAGCACAGUAGCCGAGUAGCUGAGAGCUCUCUCAAAAUACCUUGCCCAGGCAGGGAGAUAAAGCAGAAUUUGGCCUUUAUCCAAACACUGCGUGUUCUUGGACUAGCCCCUUGCUGAGUUUUGCUCGCCUGGAAACACAGGAAAAUGUAGAAGAGAGCAGAUUCACGAAUAGAGACCUGUCUGGAGAGGUCAAACUGAAGGAAGAAAUAAAAUCUCUUUCCUUAGAGGUGCAAAGCCCCUCAAAAGUUUCAGCUGUGAGGAUGGAAGUAUCACAUAAUGGACUGAAAAGAAAUACCAGUCAAGAGCUGCUACUGACUGGAGGUCAUGCAAGCAUGAGGGGAGGAAAAAAGAAACUGAAAAAUCAUCACUGGAAAAUAAAAAGUAAGGAAGCAAAGAAACCCCUGAUUCAGCUGUCAAAGCUCUGAGAAAAAGCAGUAAGAGCUGUUGAUGAUUGCUGGCAGAAAGCAGCCUGGUACUGUUGUAAGCCAAGAGACUGUCUCCUGUUGCAUCUGUAUCUGAGAAUGUUUCUGUAAAUAAACCAGAUGGUAUUAAA